AGGCAGCUGUGAGCAGGCUUUGCAUUUUUACUCAGCCUGACAAUCUUUAUCAUUUUGCCAAGGGUGUCCUGGUCAUUAAGACAGGAGCCUAGCAUAACUGUCCUCUGAGAGGCUCCACCCAGCAGUCAAUGGAAAGAGAUGCAGAGACCCACAGCCUACCAUUAGACAGAACUCAGGGUGUCUUAUAGAAGAGUUGACAGAAAGACUGAGGGACCUGAAGAGGACAAGGACUCCAAAAGAAGACCAACAGAAUCUACUAACCUGGACGCUUUGGGGCUUCAAGAAACUGAACCACCAACGAAAAACUGAGCACAGGGUUCCUAUGACUGAAAUUAGAAAACUAGUCAUCUGUGUUAUGGCCAGCCAUCAGACAACUAGCCAAACAGCUGCAUGAUCAAUUCGAUCUGACAAUGAAAUCAGAUGGAAUGAGUGUAUCCGGCUUCAUAAUGCUGCCAACGCAAUGUGGCUUCAUCAGUGCAAAUCAAUCAAUGUAAUGCUGUAACAAUGUCUCAUUAAAAAACUAAAAAACAAAAAAAAAACUUUGGUCAAGAAUCCUUAUACAGAAGACAAAAAUAAAGUACUUUGUUGCAUAGUACACGAAACUCUUGCUAUUUACUUGUUUACGCAAGUCAACUAGGGUUUUAAUUAAAAGAUCUUUGGUAUCCAUGAACAUGUACAUUUAAAAUC